rnacentral:rRNA from 1 species
GAUGAACGCUGGCGGCGUGCCUAACACAUGCAAGUCGAGCGAUUCUCUUCGGAGAAGAGCGGCGGACGGGUGAGUAACGCGUGGGUAACCUGCCCUGUACACACGGAUAACAUACCGAAAGGUAUGCUAAUACGAGAUACUAUGCGUUUAUCGCAUGGUAGAAGUAUCAAAGCUCCGGCGGUACAGUAUGUAUCCGCGUCUGAUUAGCUAGUUGGUAAGGUAACGGCUUACCAAGGCGACGAUAAGUAGCCGACCUGAGAGGGUGAUCGGCCACAUUGGAACUGAGACACGGUCCAAACUCAUACGGGAGGCAGCAGUGGGGAAUAUUGCACAAUGGGCGAAAGCCUGAUGCAGCAACGCCGCGUGAGCGAUGAAGGCCUUCGGGUCGUAAAGCUCUGUCCUCAAGGAAGAUAAUGACGGUACUUGAGGAGGAAGCCCCGGCUAACUACGUGCCAGCCGCCGCGGUAA